rnacentral:misc_RNA from 1 species
AAAGGAGCUGGUAUCAGGCACAGAUUUCUAGCCCACAACACCUAACAUCGUCACACCUUCAAGGGUCUUCAGCAGUGAUUAACAUUGAUAAUAAGCGACAGCUUGACUCAGUUAAAGUAUUAAAAGCCGGCUAACCCGGUGCCAGCCGCCGCGGCCACACCGUCGGACUUAAGUUGAUAGUCAACGGCGUUAAGCGUGUUUUAAGUAAACAACAAUUAGAAUUGAAUCCAAGCCAAGUCGUGAUACACUCGCUCUACGGAAACAUAUAAUCGAAAGUUAUUCUAAUUAAUCACUUGAAUCCACGACAGUUAAGAAACAAACUGGGAUUAGAUACCCCACUAUGCUUAGCCGUAAAAUAUUCACUUACACUUCAAAUCGCCCGAGUAUUACGAGCUCAAGCUUAAAACUCAAAGGACUUGACGGUGUCCCACCCACCUAGAGGAGCCUGUUCUAUAAUCGAUGAUCCCCGAUAAACCUAACCACUUUUUGCUAAUCAGUCUGUAUACCUCCGUCGCAAGCUUACCAUAUGAAUGAUAAUUAGUGAGCAAAAAGAUCCCUACACCAAAACGUCAGGUCAAGGUGCAACCCACAAAGUGGAUAGAAAUGGGCUACAGUUUCUAACUUAGAACACACGAAUAAUUAUAUGAAAAAUAAUAAUGAAGGCGGAUUUAGUAGUAAGGGGUAAAUAAAGUGUCCCCCUUAACUUGGCACUGGGACAUGUACACACCGCCCGUCACCCUCUUCAAUCAAAACCAUUAAUAGUCAAUAACAAUACAUACUUCUUAAGAAGGGGCAAGUCGUAACAUGGUAAGCAUACUGAAAGUGUGCUUGGAUUAACAAAAUAUAACUUAACUAAAGUACUUCGCUUACACCGAACAUAUAUCUGUUCAAGUCAGAUUAUUUUGAGCCUUAUACUUAGCUCCCCCCCUCUAAUAACUCACCCAUCUAUUCUUAUUAUAAAACAUUUUAACAACCUAGUAAACGCGAUUAAAAAUUUAAUAGAAGCUAUAUAUAAAGUACCGCAAGGGAAAAGUGAAAUAGAAAUGAAAUAAACAAAAAGCAAGUAAAAGCAGAGAUUAGUACUCGUACCUUUUGUAUCAUGGUCUAGCUAGUCCUAACAAGCAAAUUAUUCCAUUUAGCUUGUACCCCCGAAACUAGGCGAGCUACUCAAAAACAGCUUUACGAGCCAACCCGUCUCUGUUGCAAAAGAGUGGGAAGAUUUUUAAGUAGAGGUGACAUGCCUAUCGAGCUUAGAGAUAGCUGGUUGCUCAAGAAAAGAACCUUAGUUCUGCCUCAAAUUUUAUACAGCAUUUAACAUGCCCAUUUUGAGAGUUAUUCAAAUAUGGUACAGCCUAUUUGACAUUGGAUACAACCAAAAACUUAGGGUAAUGUAACUAUUAUUUAACCGAGUUGGCCUAAAAGCAGCCACCUUAAAAAAGCGUCACAGCUUAAUUAAUUAAUCAAUUAAUACCCCUCACUAUGCAAACCCCAAAUCCAGUAUUGAGCACAUUUAUAAUUUAUAAUUGAUAUUAUGCUAGAACUAGUAACAAGAAAACUUCUCCAAAAUGUAAGUAUACCUCAAACAUGAACAUUACUAUGAUUAGUAAUAACUCACUCCUAGAAACCCUUACUAAUUUCUAAUAUUAAACUUACGCAAGAACACUCCUGGAAAGAUUAAAAUAAAAAGAAGGAACUCGGCAAAUUUUAGUCUCGCCUGUUUACCAAAAACAUCGCCUCUUGAUUAAAUAUAAGAGGUCUAGCCUGCCCAGUGAUUAUUUCAACGGCCGCGGUACCCUAACCGUGCGAAGGUAGCACAAUCACUUGUUCUUUAAAUAAGGACUAGUAUGAACGGCAUCACGAAGACUGUACUGUCUCCUUUUUAUAAUCAGUGAAACUGAUCUUCCCGUGAAGAAGCGGGAAUUAUUAUAUCAGACGAGAAGACCCCAUGGAGCUUUAAGUCAAACAUCAACUGCUAUACCAAUAUCACUAAAACUCUGCAGAUCUGACUGUUAACUUUCGGUUGGGGUGACCACGGAGUAAAAUAAAACCUCCACAAUGAAAGGGCUAAGCCCUAAUUCAAGAAUUACAUUUCUAAAAAUCAAAAUAUUGUCAUUUAUUGACCCAAACCUUUGAUCAAUGAACCAAGUUACCCUGGGGAUAACAGCGCAAUCCAUUUCAAGAGCUCCUAUCGACAAGUGGGUUUACGACCUCGAUGUUGGAUCAGGGUAUCCCAGUGGUGCAUCCGCUACUAA